CGGACGGGUGAGUAACGCGUGGGUAACCUGCCUCACACAGGGGGAUAACAGUUGGAAACGACCGCUAAUACCGCAUAAGCCAACAGGGGCGCAUGCUCUGGUUGGAAAAGAUUUAUCGGUGUGAGAUGGACCCGCGUCUGAUUAGCCAGUUGGCAGGGUAGCGGCCUACCAAAGCGACGAUCAGUAGCCGGCCUGAGAGGGUGAACGGCCACAUUGGGACUGAGACACGGCCCAAACUCCUACGGAAGGCAGCAG
rnacentral:rRNA from 1 species